UAAGUAUGAGCCGAAAUAAAGUGAGACCGCGAAUGGCUCAUUACAUCAGUUAUGGUUCCUUAGAUCUUCGGUAUCCUACUUGGAUAACCCUGGAAAUUCUAGAGCUAAUACAUGCAAACGCAGCCUCGACCCUGUCGGGAAGAGGCGUUUUUGUUAGACCAAAACCAAUCGGGGGAAGGGGGUGGGGGGUUUCGGCCCCCUCUUUCCGAGCCCGUCCUUUUGGUGAGUCUGAACAACCUUGGGCAGAUCGCACGGCCUUGCGCCGGCGACAUCUCUUUCAAAUGUCUGCCUUAUCAACUUGAUGGUAGGUUACGCGCCUACCAUGGUGAUAACGGGUAACGGAGAAUCAGGGUUCGAUGCCGGAGAGGGAGCCUGAGAAACGGCUACCACAUCCAAGGAAGGCAGCAGGCACGCAAAUUACCCACUCCCGGCACGGGGAGGUAGUGACGAAAAAUAACAAUACGGGACUCAUCCGAGGCCCCGUAAUUGGAAUGAGUACACUUCAAAUCCUUUAACGAGGAUCCAUUGGAGGGCAAGUCUGGUGCCAGCAGCCGCGGUAAUUCCAGCUCCAAUAGCGUAUAUUAAAGUUGCUGCGGUUAAAAAGCUCGUAGUUGGAUCUCAGUUGCGGGCGGGCGGUUCGCCUCACGGCGCUACUGCCCGGGCCGGACCUAUCGCCGGUUCCACCGAGGUGCCCUUCGCUGGGUGCCCCGGAGGACCGGGGCGUUUACUUUGAAAAAAUUGGAGUGCUCAAAGCAGGCGAACGCCUGUACAUUCGUGCAUGGAAUAAUGGAAAAUGGCCUCGGCGCUAUUUUGUUGGUUCUAGGCUCUCGAGGUAAUGGUUGAAGGGGACAGCCGGGGGCAUUCGUAUUGCGACGUUAGAGGUGAAAUUCUUAGAUCGUCGCAAGACGGACUACUGCGAAAGCAUUUGCCAAGAAUGUUUUCAUUAAUCAAGAACGAAAGUCAGAGGUUCGAAGGCGAUCAGAUACCGCCCUAGUUCUGACCUUAAACGAUGCCAACUGGCGAUCCGCCGGGGGUAUUUCCAUGACCUGGCGGGCAGCUUCCGGGAAACCAAAGUUUUUGGGUUCCGGGGGAAGUAUGGUUGCAAAGCUGGAACUUAAAGGAAUUGACGGAAGGGCACCACCAGGAGUGGAGCCUGUGGCUUAAUUUGACUCAACACGGGAAACCUCACCAGGACCAGACACUGGAAGGAUUGACAGAUUGAGAGCUCUUUCUUGAUUUGGUGGGUGGUGGUGCAUGGCCGUUCUUAGUUGGUGGAGUGAUUUGUCUGGUUAAUUCCGAUAACGAACGAGACUCUGGCCUGCUAAAUAGGCGGCGGAUCCUCUCGAGUCCGCUUCGCUCUUCUUAGAGGGACAAGGCAGCUCCAAGCUGCGUGAAAUGGGGCAAUAACAGGUCUGUGAUGCCCUUAGAUGUUCUGGGCCGCACACGCGCUACACUGAAGGCGGCAACGUGUUGGUCUGGCUCGAAAGGGUCGGGUAACCCGUUGAAUCGCCUUCGUGCUGGGGAUUGAGGUUUGCAAUUAUCCUUCAUGAACGAGGAAUUCCCAGUAGGUGCAAGUCAUAAGCUUGCGCCGACUACGUCCCUGCCCUUUGUACACACCGCCCGUCGCUACUACCGAUUGAAUGAUUUAGUGAGGGCUUCGGACUGGGACCGAUGCGGCCUUUCGGGGUUGCGCCGGCCUUCCGGAAAGAUGCCCAAAA
rnacentral:rRNA from 1 species